GUGCUUGCUUUGUUAGCACAUAUACUAAAAGUUGGAAUGAUACAGAGAAGAUCAGCAUGGCCCUCGUGCAAAGAUGACAUACACAUUUGUGAAGCGUACCACAUCUUU